UACGGAGGGUGCAAGCGUUAAUCGGAUUUACUGGGCGUAAAGCGUACGUAGGCGGCUUGUUAAGCAAGAUGUGAAAUCCCCGGGCUCAACCUGGGAAUGGCAUUUUGAACUGGCAGGCUCGAGUUCUGAAGAGGGUGGUAGAAUUUCCAGUGUAGCGGUGAAAUGCGUAGAUAUUGGAAGGAAUACCGGUGGCGAAGGCGGCCACCUGGUCAGAAACUGACGCUGAGGUACGAAAGCGUGGGGAGCAAACAGG
rnacentral:rRNA from 1 species